GUAUAGAACCUACCUUUUACUGGAGAAUAGCCCAGAGAAAUUUGGAUUAAUGCUCCAUAGUAUCAUUUUUUGGCAUCCUUAGAUGAUUAAAGAUUUAUCGGUAAAAGAUGGCUAUGCGUUCUAUUAGCUAGUUGGUAUGGUAACGGCAUACCAAGGCGACGAUAGAUAGGGGUCCUGAGAGGGAGAUCCCCCACACUGGUACUGAGACACGGACCAGACUCCUACGGGAGGCAGCAGUGAGGAAUAUUGGACAAUGGAGGCAACUCUGAUCCAGCCAUGCCGCGUGUAGGAAGACUGCCCUAUGGGUUGUAAACUACUUUUAUAGAGGAAGAAACCGCUCUACGUGUAGAGCUCUGACGGUACUCUACGAAUAAGGAUCGGCUAACUCCGUGCCAGCAGCCGCGGUAAUACGGAGGAUCCAAGCGUUAUCCGGAAUCAUUGGGUUUAAAGGGUCCGUAGCGGGUUUGUAAGUCAGUGGUGAAAGUUUUCGGCUCAACCGGAAAAUUGCCAUUGAUACUGCAAGUCUUGAAUCGUUGUGAAGUGGUUAGAAUGUGUAGUGUAGCGGUGAAAUGCAUAGAUAUUACACAGAAUACCGAUUGCGAAGCAGAUCACUAACAAUGUAUUGACGCUAAGGGACGAAAGCGUGGGUAGCGAACAGGAUUAGAUACCCUGGUAGUCCACGCCGUAAACGAUGGUUACUAGCUGUUCGGAUUUCGGUCUGAGUGGCUAAGCGAAAGUGAUAAGUAACCCACCUGGGGAGUACGUUCGCAAGAAUGAAACUCAAAGGAAUUGACGGGGGCCCGCACAAGCGUGGAGCAUGUGGUUUAAUUCGAUGAUACGCGAGGAACCUUACCAGGGCUUAAAUGUAGAUUGACAGGUUUAGAGAUAGACUUUUCUUCGGACAAUUUACAAGGUGCU
rnacentral:rRNA from 1 species